UACGGGGGGAGCAAACGUUGUUCGGAAUCACUGGGCGUAAAGGGCGUGUAGGCGGCUGGAUAAGUGGGAUGUUAAAUCCCCCGGCUCAACCGGGGACCUGCAUCUCAUACUGUUCAGCUCGAGCACAUCAGAGGGAGACUGGAAUUCCCGGUGUAGCGGUGAAAUGCGUAGAUAUCGGGAGGAACGACCAGUGGCGAAGGCGAAGUCUCUGGGAUGAUGCUGACGCUGAGGCGCGAAAGCCAGGGAGGCAAACGGG
rnacentral:rRNA from 1 species